AGAGUUUGAUCAUGGCUCAGGACGAACGCUGGCGGCGUGCUUAACACAUGCAAGUCGAACGGUCGUAGCGAUACGAUAGUGGCGGACGGGUGAGUAACACGUGAGUAAUCUGCCUUUUACAGGGGGAUAACACUGAGAAAUCAGUGCUAAUACCGCAUAAGACUACGUUGUCGCAUGGCAAAGUAGUAAAAGGGAUACCGGUAAAAGAUGAGCUCGCGUCCCAUUAGGUAGUUGGUGUCGGUAACGGCGCACCAAGCCAACGAUGGGUAGCCGACCUGAGAGGGUGAUCGGCCACACUGGAACUGAGAUACGGUCCAGACUCCUACGGGAGGCAGCAGUGGGGAAUAUUGGGCAAUGGAGGCAACUCUGACCCAGCAACGCCGCGUGAAUGAAGAAGGUCUUCGGAUUGUAAAGUUCUGUGGAUAGGGAAGAAAAAAAUGACGGUACCUAUACAGCAAGCCACGGCAAACUACGUGCCAGCAGCCGCGGUAAUACGUAGGUGGCAAGCGUUGUCCGGAAUGACUGGGUGUAAAGGGUGCGUAGGCGGCUAUGCAAGUUAGAAGUGUAAUCCCCGGGCUUAACCUGGGAGCUACUUCUAAAACUGUGUAGCUUGAGUGUGGGAGAGGUAAGUGGAAUUCCUAGUGUAGCGGUGGAAUGCGUAGAUAUUAGGAGGAACACCAGAGGCGAAGGCGACUUACUGGACCAUAACUGACGCUGAGGCACGAAAGCGUGGGGAGCAAACAGGAUUAGAUACCCUGGUAGUCCACGCCCUAAACGAUGGAUACUAGGUGUAGGGGGUAUCGACUCCCCCUGUGCCGUCGUUAACGCAAUAAGUAUCCCACCUGGGGAGUACGGCCGCAAGGCUAAAACUCAAAGGAAUUGACGGGGACCCGCACAAGCAGCGGAGCAUGUGGUUUAAUUCGAAGCAACGCGAAGAACCUUACCAAGGCUUGACAUCGCCUGCAUAGUAUAGAGAUAUAUGAAGUUAUAGCAAUAUAACAGGCAGACAGGUGGUGCAUGGUUGUCGUCAGCUCGUGUCGUGAGAUGUUGGGUUAAGUCCCGCAACGAGCGCAACCCUUAUGAACAGUUGCCAAUAUUAAGUUAGGAACUCUGUUCAGACUGCCGUGGAUAACACGGAGGAAGGUGAGGAUGACGUCAAAUCAUCACGCCCCUUACGUCUUGGGCUACACACGUGCUACAAUGGCUGUUACAAAGAGCAGCAAUAUAGUAAUAUGGAGUGAAUCUCAGAAAAACAAUCUCAGUUCAGAUUGUGGGCUGCAACUCGCCCACAUGAAGCAGGAGUUGCUACUAAUCGCAAAUCAGAAUGUUGCGGUGAAUGCGUUCCCGGGUCUUGUACACACCGCCCGUCACGCCAUGGGAGUUGGGAGUGCCCGAAGUCAGUGACCUAACCCGCAAGGGGAGGAGCUGCCGAAGGUAAGACCAAUGACUGGGGUGAAGUCGUAACAAGGUAACCGUA
rnacentral:rRNA from 3 species